rnacentral:tRNA from 1 species
AGUGAGAUGGCUGAGUUAGGCAAUAAACUGUAAAUUUAUUUACGAAAUAUUAAUUUCUCUCACUA